GCGACCGGCGGAAGGGUGCGUAACGCGUGAGCAACAUGCCCGUCUCAGGGGGAUAACCGAUGGAAACGUCGCCUAAUACCCCCGUAACAACGGAUCCCGCAUGAGAUCUGUUUGAAAGCUCCGGCGGAGACGGAUUGGCUCGCGUGACAUUAGCUAGUUGGCGGGUAACGCCCACCAAGGCGACGAUGUCUAGGGGUUCCUGAGAGGAAGGUCCCCCACACUGGAACUGAGACACGGUCCAGACUCCUACGGGAGGCAGCAGUGAGGAAUAUUGGUCAAUGGGCGGAAGCCUGAACCAGCCAUGCCGCGUGAAGGAUUAAGGCCCUAUGGGUCGUAAACUUCUUUUGACGGGGAGCAAUAAGGGCGUCGCGCACGUCCGAUGAGAGUACUCGUCGAAUAAGCAUCGGCUAACUCCGUGCC
rnacentral:rRNA from 1 species